AUAAUACUCCAUAGAUUAGAGACACUGGAAUGUUCUUUAGUCGAAAGUUCUGGCGCCUUAGGAUGGAUCUGCGGUCGAUUAGGUUGUUGUUGGGGUAACGGCCCAACAAGCCUGUAAUCGAUACGGGUUGUGGGAGCAAGAGCCCGGAGAUGGAAUCUGAGACACGAUUCCAGGCCCUACGGGGCGCAGCAGGCGCGAAAACUUUACAAUGCAGGAAACUGUGAUAAGGGAACUCCGAGUGCCCGUAUACGCGGGCUGUCCAGGUGUUUAAAAAUCAUCUGAAGAAAGGGCCGGGCAAGACCGGUGCCAGCCGCCGCGGUAAUACCGGCGGCUCGAGUGGUGGCCACUAUUAUUGGGCUUAAAGCGUCCGUAGCUGGACCGAUAAGUCUCUUGGGAAAUCCGCCGGCUCAACCGGCGGGCGUCUAAGGGAUACUGUUAGUCUAGGGACCGGGAGAGGUGAGAGGUACUCCGGGGGUAGGAGUGAAAUCCUGUAAUCCUCGAGGGACCACCUGUGGCGAAGGCGCCUCAACAGAACGGCUUCGACAGUGAGGGACGAAAGCUGGGGGAGCAAACCGGAUUAAAUACCCGGGUAGUCCCAGCCGUAAACGAUGCGCGUUAGGUGU
rnacentral:rRNA from 1 species